UACUAAUAAUAAGAACACAAUACACAUUACCAUCUUUUGUAUACAAUUAAAUACUCCUAACACAACAAGCAAAGCAACUGUAUAACAGUAAACUACUAUGCUACACUAUUAAGAUACUCCUAACACAGCAAGCAAUACAACUUUAUAACAGUAAAGGACACUAAGCUACACUAUUAAGAUACUCCUAACACAGCAAGCAAUACAUCUGUAUAACAUUAAAGGACACUAAGCUACACUAUUAAGAGCGUCGAAUAUUUAGAGGAAUUACGGUAGAUACUCCUAACACAACAAGCAAAGCAACUGUAUAACAGUAAAGGACACUAUGCUAAUACUCCUAACACAACUAGCAUUACAACUGUAUAACAGUAAACUACUAUGCUACAAUAUUAAUAUACUCCUAACACAACAAGCAAUACAACUGUAUAACAGUAA